GGACUACCAGGGUAUCUAAUCCUGUUUGCUCCCCACGCUUUCGCGCCUGAGCGUCAGCCGUCGGCCAGGGCACUGCCUUCGCCAUUGGUGUUCCUCCGGAUCUCUACGCAUUUCACCGCUCCACCCGGAAUUCCAUGCCCCUCUCCGACGCUCAAGCCGCCCCGUCUGCAUGGACCUCUCCUAGUUAAGCCAGGAGCUUUCACCACACACGCGGGCGGCCGCCUGCGCGCCCUUUACGCCCAGUAACUCCGGACAACGCUCGUCUCCUACGUAUUACCGCGGCUGCUGGCAC
rnacentral:rRNA from 1 species